AUGUCGAUUUGGAGGUUGUGCCCUUGAGGCGUGGCUUCCGGAGCUAACGCGUUAAAUCGACCGCCUGGGGAGUACGGCCGCAAGGUUAAAACUCAAAUGAAUUGACGGGGGCCCGCACAAGCGGUGGAGCAUGUGGUUUAAUUCGAUGCAACGCGAAGAACCUUACCUACUCUUGACAUCCAGAGAACUUUCCAGAGAUGGAUUGGUGCCUUCGGGAACUCUGAGACAGGUGCUGCAUGGCUGUCGUCAGCUCGUGUUGUGAAAUGUUGGGUUAAGUCCCGCAACGAGCGCAACCCUUAUCCUUUGUUGCCAGCGAUUCGGUCGGGAACUCAAAGGAGACUGCCGGUGAUAAACCGGAGGAAGGUGGGGAUGACGUCAAGUCAUCAUGGCCCUUACGAGUAGGGCUACACACGUGCUACAAUGGCGUAUACAAAGAGAAGCAAGCUCGCGAGAGCAAGCGGACCUCAUAAAGUACGUCGUAGUCCGGAUUGGAGUCUGCAACUCGACUCCAUGAAGUCGGAAUCGCUAGUAAUCGUAGAUCAGAAUGCUACGGUGAAUACGUUCCCGGGCCUUGUACUCCCCGCCCCGUCA
rnacentral:rRNA from 1 species